rnacentral:lncRNA from 1 species
CUUUCAAAGGCUUAAAGAUGAUGCCAGGGUUUGCUCUCUCUCGUGGCAUAAACUACUGGGUAAUACAGUCCAUGGUAUCAUUAUUUAAUACUAGUUCACCUACAUGUCUUCCUUGGGGAAGAAAUAUAGCUGAAUAUCAUAUAUUUUGUAGCUAUGCAAGGAUUCUUUUCUCUGGGUGGGUGUGUGUGUGUGUGUGUGUGUGUGUUUUUUUUUUUUUUUUCGAAAGUAUAACGGAUGCGCGCCUCUUUUGGGUCCAUGCUGCGUACGUUUCCAGACGCUAACUUGGUUUUUUAUCUGAAGGUGUUGAAAGCAAUGAAGAUUCAUAAUCUUUACUACAAUGCUUCUCGGGAAAUUUUUGUAUAGUUUCAGGGUGGUUAUAUUGUGAUUACAAUUUUUGUUUGAUUCAUCAUAUUUAAAUUGCAGUUAAGCUCCUCGUAUUUGUUCAUUGUAGCAAUUAUUUUCUCAACUUUUUUUGUCGAAUUUUUAUCUUCAGCGCUAUAGAACCAAUGGGCGAUGCUUGGUUACAAUUUCGAAUCCGUUAUUAUAUGUUUGCUCUCGUUUUUGUUGUUUUUGAUGUUGAAACGAUUUUUCUUUAUGACUUUAUCCAUGGGUAACGAGUUUCGAUGUAUUGGGUGUAUCUGUAUUUAUAGAAGCUUUAAUUUUCGUGCUUAUCUUAAUUGAUGGUUUAGUUUAUGCAUGGCGAAAGGGGGCAUUGGAAUGGUCUUAGCUCUUGAAUAUUCAGACAAAAUAAAGGAAAGGGAAAAAAAAAAGAUUGAAAAAGUUAUGAAUUCCAUUGAGUUUCCUUUACUUGAUCAAACACUGACAAAACUUCAGGUAAGUUAUGUUAGAGAAAAAAGUGAAUUCUUGCAUUUUGUCCUCCUGUUGAGAAAGCAUUCAUUCUUCAUCCCAUAUUUACAUUUCUCAAAAGACUUCAAUUGGUACGUGCAAGAAAUAGGCCAAUUUGGCAGCUUUUUGUUCAAUUUCUCGUGGAGUCAAAUUCUCAUCAGUACGGGCCAAGGGAAUGGCCCCCUGGCCUCUGAUAUCCAUAUAAAGGACACGACGAGCAUAAAUAUCCUCUUCAACUUCUAUUCUAAUGGAUUGAAUAUCUUUUAUAAGGAAUCGGAGAAAUAUGCGAUGAUUUUUUCCUCGAUUUUUUAUCCUCGGCGUCUCGUCCUUGAUGCUGAUUUGUGUCAAAAUAUUUUGUGUCGGUACUUUGAAAUGAGGCAAAAAUAUUUUUUUGCACUUUUUAUUUUAUUUUGAAAAAUAUAUAUAUAUGAUGGGAAAGUAAAUUAUUCUACACUAUUUCAAGACACUUUUUGAUAUAAAACUGUUAUCCAAUGCAAAAUGUAUUAACUAUUGAAAAAAUUGAGAAUAAAAAUGAUAUUAAAAUUUGUUGGUUACACAAGUGUUAUAAUAAGCAAAGAUUAAAAACCGAAGUACAAUUAAAAUGUGGUACAAAAAAUAAAAAUUAUGAUGCAAACAUAAUCACCCAGUCCACUGCAAGCCAUCUUGCGAAUGCAACUUCAAGAAACUGCUUAUUUUUUGGUACUUUUAAGGAUACGAAUAUUCGUCUGUUGGAUUAAGAAAUUGGGGAUGAGCUGACGUUUUCGAAGCAAUGUUUUACGGCCAUCCGGUAAUUUACUGCAUUCUCAUUCGCUUUCAAGGGCUAAAAUACCUCGUGUUAUAGUGAUUUUCGACCCGUGGCCAGCUGGUAAACGACGAUUUAAUGUUGGUAUUGAUUCUUUCAUAGUUAUCUAACUUAUGGGUUUGAUUUCCUCCAUACACUUUUGGCAGCUCGAUAAGUUCCGUUGAGGAUAUUGAUCAAUCUUCAAUUCCCUGCAUUUCCCGGGCCACAGGCAAUCAUCAUUUGCUUUCAAAGGCUUAAAGAUGAUGCCAGGGUUUGCUCUCUCUCGUGGCAUAAACUACUGGGUAAUACAGUCCAUGGUAUCAUUAUUUAAUACUAGUUCACCUACAUGUCUUCCUUGGGGAAGAAAUAUAGCUGAAUAUCAUAUAUUUUGUAGCUAUGCAAGGAUUCUUUUCUCUGGGUGGGUGUGUGUGUGUGUGUGUGUGUGUGUUUUUUUUUUUUUUUCGAAAGUAUAACGGAUGCGCGCCUCUUUUGGGUCCAUGCUGCGUACGUUUCCAGACGCUAACUUGGUUUUUUAUCUGAAGGUGUUGAAAGCAAUGAAGAUUCAUAAUCUUUACUACAAUGCUUCUCGGGAAAUUUUUGUAUAGUUUCAGGGUGGUUAUAUUGUGAUUACAAUUUUUGUUUGAUUCAUCAUAUUUAAAUUGCAGUUAAGCUCCUCGUAUUUGUUCAUUGUAGCAAUUAUUUUCUCAACUUUUUUUGUCGAAUUUUUAUCUUCAGCGCUAUAGAACCAAUGGGCGAUGCUUGGUUACAAUUUCGAAUCCGUUAUUAUAUGUUUGCUCUCGUUUUUGUUGUUUUUGAUGUUGAAACGAUUUUUCUUUAUGACUUUAUCCAUG